rnacentral:lncRNA from 1 species
CACCUAAAGAAGUCACCUCUGGCCCAACAACACCUCCACCACUGUAAUUGUUGAACCUCUCUACUUCAACAUCACAGCCCACGCAACAGGUGAAGAAAACAUCAGGGCCAGUUGUCAUUACUUCCAAUCCCACUACUUUAACAACAACAACAAUUGCACCACACAACGACACCUACCACAGGUGGAACGACAACAGUUGAAGAACCACAAUGAGACAAGUCCAUCUACAAAACCCACCUAAAGAAGUCACUUCCGGCCCAACAACCACUUCCACCACGUAAUUGUUGAAACCUCUACUUCAACAUCACAGCCCACAGCAACAGGUGAAGAAACAUCAGGGCCAGUUGUCAUUACAUUCCAAUCCCACGAUCACCACAACACAAUUGCACCCCCAACACGACACCUACCACGGGUGGAACUACAAAAUUGAAGAAACCACAUCAGUCAAUUCAACAACAUCCACAAAGCCACCUAAAGAAGUCCCCCACGGCCCCAAACCACUUCCACCACUGAAUUGUUGAAACCUCUCACUCAACAUCACACCGCCACACAACAGGUGAGAAACAUCAGGGCCAGUUGUCAUAAACUUCCAAUCCCACUACAUCAACCACAACUCAAGGCACCACUACACCUACCACAGGUGAACUACAAAAGUUGAAGAAACCACAACUGAGACAUUUCAUCUACAAUCCACAAACCACCUAAAGAAGUCCCACGGGCCCAACAACCACUCAUCCACCACUGUAAUUGUUGAAACCUCUACUUCAACAUCACAGCCCACAGCAACAGGUGAAGAAACAUCAGGGCCAGUUGUCAUUACAUCCAAUCCCACUACUUUACAACAAAACAACAUUGCAACCCACAACAACGACACCUACCACAGGUGGAUCGCAACAGUUGAAGAAACCACAAAUGAGACAAGUCCAUCUACAAAACCACCUAAAGAAGUCACCUCGCCCAACAACCUUCCACCACGUAAUUGUUGAAACCCUUACUUCAACAUCACAGCCCACCAAACAGUGAAGAAACAUACAGGGCCAGUUGUCUACAUUCCAAUCCCACUACUUUAACAACAACAACAAUUGCACCCACAACAACGACACCUACCACAGGUGGAACGACAACAGUUGAAGAAACCACAAAUGAGACAAGUCCAUCUACAAAACCACCUAAAGAAGUCACCUCUGGCCCAACAACAACCCACCACUGUAAUUGUGAAACCUCUACUUCAACAUCACAGCCACAGCAACAGGUGAAGAAACAUCAGGGCCAGUUGUCAUUACAUCCAAUCCCACGACACACAACACACAUGACACACAACAAGACACCACCACAGGUGGAACUACAAGAAUUGAAGAAACCACACUGAGUCAAUUUCAACAACAUCCACAAGCCACCUAAAGAAGUCCCACGGGCCCAACAACCACUUCCACCACUGAAUUG